rnacentral:rRNA from 1 species
UACGAAGGGGGCUAGCGUUGCUCGGAAUUACUGGGCGUAAAGGGCGCGUAGGCGGAUGUCUAAGUUGGGGGGUGAAAGCCCGGGGCUCAACCUCGGAAUAGCCUUCAAUACUGGAUAUCUUGAGUUCGGGGAGAGGUGAGUGGAAUGCCGAGUGUAGAGGUGAAAUUCGUAGAUAUUGGCGGAACACCAGUGGCGAAGGCGACUCACUGGCCCGAUACUGACGCUGAGGCGCGAAAGCGUGGGGAGCAAACAGGGAUUAAGAAACC